GGGUUGUGAGGUUAAGCGACUAAGCGUACACGGUGGAUGCCCUGGCAGUCAGAGGCGAUGAAGGACGUGCUAAUCUGCGAAAAGCGUCGGUAAGGUGAUAUGAACCGUUACAGCCGGCGAUGUCCGAAUGGGGAAACCCAGUGCAAUUCGUUGCACUAUCGUUAACUGAAUACAUAGGUUAACGAGGCGAACCGGGGGAACUGAAACAUCUAAGUACCCCGAGGAAAAGAAAUCAACCGAGAUUCCCCCAGUAGCGGCGAGCGAACGGGGAGCAGCCCAGAGUCUGAAUCAGCUUGUGUGUUAGUGGAACGGUCUGGAAAGUCCGACGGUACAGGGUGAUAGUCCCGUACACCAAAAUGCACAGGCUGUGAACUCGAAGAGUAGGGCGGGACACGUGGUAUCCUGUCUGAAUAUGGGGGGACCAUCCUCCAAGGCUAAAUACUCCUGACUGACCGAUAGUGAACCAGUACCGUGAGGGAAAGGCGAAAAGAACCCCGGCGAGGGGAGUGAAAAAGAACCUGAAACCGUGUACGUACAAGCAGUGGGAGCACCUUCGGGUGUGACUGCGUACCUUUUGUAUAAUGGGUCAGCGACUUAUAUUCUGUAGCAAGGUUAACCGUAUAGGGGAGCCGCAGGGAAACCGAGUCUUAACUGGGCGUUAAGUUGCAGGGUAUAGACCCGAAACCCGGUGAUCUAGCCAUGGGCAGGUUGAAGGUUGGGUAACACUAACUGGAGGACCGAACCGACUAAUGUUGAAAAAUUAGCGGAUGACUUGUGGCUGGGGGUGAAAGGCCAAUCAAACCGGGAGAUAGCUGGUUCUCCCCGAAAGCUAUUUAGGUAGCGCCUCGUGAAUUCAUCUUCGGGGGUAGAGCACUGUUUCGGCUAGGGGGUCAUCCCGACUUACCAACCCGAUGCAAACUACGAAUACCGAAGAAUGUUAUCACGGGAGACACACGGCGGGUGCUAACGUCCGUCGUGAAGAGGGAAACAACCCAGACCGCCAGCUAAGGUCCCAAAGUCAUGGUUAAGUGGGAAACGAUGUGGGAAGGCACAGACAGCCAGGAUGUUGGCUUAGAAGCAGCCAUCAUUUAAAGAAAGCGUAAUAGCUCACUGGUCGAGUCGGCCUGCGCGGAAGAUGUAACGGGGCUAAACCAUGCACCGAAGCUGCGGCAGCGACACUAUGUGUUGUUGGGUAGGGGAGCGUUCUGUAAGCCUGCGAAGGUGACCUGUGAGGGUUGCUGGAGGUAUCAGAAGUGCGAAUGCUGACAUAAGUAACGAUAAAGCGGGUGAAAAGCCCGCUCGCCGGAAGACCAAGGGUUCCUGUCCAACGUUAAUCGGGGCAGGGUGAGUCGACCCCUAAGGCGAGGCCGAAAGGCGUAGUCGAUGGGAAACAGGUUAAUAUUCCUGUACUUGGUGUUACUGCGAAGGGGGGACGGAGAAGGCUAUGUUAGCCGGGCGACGGUUGUCCCGGUUUAAGCAUGUAGGCUGGUUGUCCAGGCAAAUCCGGAUAAUCAAGGCUGAGGUGUGAUGACGAGGCACUACGGUGCUGAAGUAACAAAUGCCCUGCUUCCAGGAAAAGCCUCUAAGCAUCAGGUAACAUCAAAUCGUACCCCAAACCGACACAGGUGGUCAGGUAGAGAAUACCAAGGCGCUUGAGAGAACUCGGGUGAAGGAACUAGGCAAAAUGGUGCCGUAACUUCGGGAGAAGGCACGCUGGUGUGUAGGUGAAGUCCCUGCGGAUGGAGCUGAGACCAGUCGAAGAUACCAGCUGGCUGCAACUGUUUAUUAAAAACACAGCACUGUGCAAACACGAAAGUGGACGUAUACGGUGUGACGCCUGCCCGGUGCCGGAAGGUUAAUUGAUGGGGUUAUCCGUAAGGAGAAGCUCUUGAUCGAAGCCCCGGUAAACGGCGGCCGUAACUAUAACGGUCCUAAGGUAGCGAAAUUCCUUGUCGGGUAAGUUCCGACCUGCACGAAUGGCGUAAUGAUGGCCAGGCUGUCUCCACCCGAGACUCAGUGAAAUUGAACUCGCUGUGAAGAUGCAGUGUACCCGCGGCAAGACGGAAAGACCCCGUGAACCUUUACUAUAGCUUGACACUGAACAUUGAGCCUUGAUGUGUAGGAUAGGUGGGAGGCUUUGAAGCGUGGACGCCAGUCUGCGUGGAGCCAACCUUGAAAUACCACCCUUUAAUGUUUGAUGUUCUAACGUUGGCCCCUUACCGGGGUUGCGGACAGUGUCUGGUGGGUAGUUUGACUGGGGCGGUCUCCUCCCAAAGCGUAACGGAGGAGCACGAAGGUUAGCUAAUCCUGGUCGGACAUCAGGAGGUUAGUGCAAUGGCAUAAGCUAGCUUGACUGCGAGCGUGACGGCGCGAGCAGGUGCGAAAGCAGGUCAUAGUGAUCCGGUGGUUCUGAAUGGAAGGGCCAUCGCUCAACGGAUAAAAGGUACUCCGGGGAUAACAGGCUGAUACCGCCCAAGAGUUCAUAUCGACGGCGGUGUUUGGCACCUCGAUGUCGGCUCAUCACAUCCUGGGGCUGAAGUAGGUCCCAAGGGUAUGGCUGUUCGCCAUUUAAAGUGGUACGCGAGCUGGGUUUAGAACGUCGUGAGACAGUUCGGUCCCUAUCUGCCGUGGGCGCUGGAGAAUUGAGGGGGGCUGCUCCUAGUACGAGAGGACCGGAGUGGACGCAUCACUGGUGUUCGGGUUGUCAUGCCAAUGGCACUGCCCGGUAGCUAAAUGCGGAAGAGAUAAGUGCUGAAAGCAUCUAAGCACGAAACUUGCCCCGAGAUGAGUUCUCCCUGAGACUUUAAGUCUCCUGAAGGAACGUUAAAGACGAUGACGUUGAUAGGCCGGGUGUGUAAGCGCAGCGAUGCGUUGAGCUAACCGGUACUAAUGAACCGUGAGGCUUAACCUUACAACGCCGAAG
rnacentral:rRNA from 2 species